AAGGGUCUAGCUCAGUGGUAGAGUGCAUGCUUAGGAUGCAGGAGGUCCUGGAUUCAAUCUCCAGCACCUCCA
rnacentral:tRNA from 1 species